GGAGAGGUGGCCGAGUGGCUUAAGGCGCACGCUUGGAAAGCGUGUAUACAGCAAUGUAUCGUGGGUUCGAAUCCCAUCCUCUCCGCCA
rnacentral:tRNA from 2 species